GCUGACCCUAGAGACAUUGCAGGUGUGGCUAUGUGUCAAAUGUGCUUCAGUAGGUGGCAGAGAGGAGAAAAGCUAUGUCUAAGCUCAGUGUUCUGAUCUGUGAACAUCUGGAUGAUUAGUAGCCUAACAUU